rnacentral:pre_miRNA from 1 species
UGUGUACUCCCUCCGUCCGAAAAUACUUGUUGGAGGAAUGGAUGUAUCUCGACAUAUUUUAAUUCUAGAUACAUCCAUUUUUAUGCAUUUCUUCGACAAGUAUUUCCGGACGGAGGGAGUAUUUG